UCACGUACGAUCCUCGAAGUUAAGCAACGUUGAGGCUGGUUUGUACUUAGAUGGGUGACCGCUUGGGAAUACCUGGUGCUGAAAG